AUGGAGUCAACCUAACAUCUCCAGAAACAGUGCACUCACCAGGAAUUUGGUUGAUUCCACCCCCAGGAUAAAACCACUGAGUUGGUUUCAUGGUCGAUGGUGUAGCAAAUUCAUAGACUUGUUCUUUUGGAUGCGCAGGGAAAUCUCUAUAGAAGCGGGACUGAAUUUCUUUCAGUGCUUCCAUAGCAAGCUCCAGAGGAUUGAUAGCCUUGUGGGGGAGACCACUGUGAAAAAGCUUUCCAGUUACAUGAAGUUUCCACGGUAUACUGCCACCGGUACCAAUGCAUGGUUGUUUAUCUGCUGUGUCAAUCCAAAAUAGAGGGCCUUUCUUUAACUUAUCAAGCAAUCCAUCCUUCACUAAUGCAUCCACACCAACCCCAGGGAUAGAUGAGUUCUCUUCACUGGCUAUGAAGACAGCAACCACCGUGGAUUUCAACUGUGGCUUUGUCUCCCCAAGACGCCUCAUAAGCUCGGAUACAAGAGCCACAUGACCUAAACAAUCAGUAGUUCCACGUCCUCGAAGUUUAUCACCAUCAAUGCUCAAUGAAAAGGGAUCAAAUUCCCAAUCAUCAGGAUUGGCAGUGACAACAUCCAUAUGCAUUCCA
rnacentral:misc_RNA from 1 species